GAUGACUGACUUGCUAUUAGUCACACUUUAGACUGUUGUACGUUCACAUUGGAUUUGAAAGCAACACCCUUUCCUCCAUGCAUCCACGCUACCUGAAAGACCACCGCUUCCUGAAUACAACGAUACCAGUUAUGUGCAGAUCGGACCUCCGCUUCUCAAGAUACGGCCAGACUGUUGUACGUUCACAUUGGAUUUGAAAGCAACACCCUUUCCUCCAUACAUCCACGCUACCUGAAAGACCACCGCUUCCUGAAUACAACGAUACCAGUUAUGUGCAGAUCGGACCUCCGCUUCUCCAGAUACGGCCAGACUGUUGUACGGUCACAUUGGAUUUGAAAGCAAAACCCUUUCCUCCAUACAUCCACGCUACCUGAAAGACCACAGCAUCCUGAAUCCAACGAUACCAGUUAUGUGCAGAUCGGACCUCCGCUUCUCCAGAUACGGCCAGGUAAGCUUUGGCCAAUC